rnacentral:misc_RNA from 1 species
AUAUAUAUAUCAAACUUCUCUUGUUGAUUGGUUUGGAUGUGGGGGUUUGCUGGCCUUUUUAAAAAGUUCAGCUCCUCUGAAAUGCAUUAGCAGAACAAACCUGUUCAUUGGUGUGAUAACUAUCUACGCUAUUGAAUGUGAGGGACAGUUCAGCUUUCUAACAGUCCUUGGACAAUUCAAUCAUUA